GGUAUGGAGUCCUGUGGCAUCCAUGAGACCACCUUCAACUCCAUCAUGAAGUGUGACGUGGACAUCCGAAAGGACCUGUAUGCC
ensembl:miRNA